rnacentral:rRNA from 1 species
UACGUAGGGAGCGAGCGUUUGUCCGGAUUCAUUGGGCGUAAAGAGCUCGUAGGCGGCUUGAUAAGUCGGAUGUGAAACCUCCAGGCUCAACCUGGAGUCGCCAUCCGAUACUGUCAUGGCUAGAGUCCGGUAGGGGCCCACGGAAUUCCUGGUGUAGCGGUGAAAUGCGCAGAUAUCAGGAGGAACACCGAGUGGCGAAGGCAGGUCUCUGGGCCA